rnacentral:rRNA from 1 species
AGGCGGAAUGUGCGUAUAGGGACAGUCUAUAUAGCCGCGCACACCCGUCUGAUGUGCCUAACCGUGAUCUGAAAUGUUCACACUAGUUGGGUAUUAAAUCUUUCGGGGUUUACGCUCAAUACGUUGUUCCAUGGAGGGUGCAAGACCCGUAUGGCCGCGUGAGUGUGUGCUUUGGCUAGACUAUCCCUGAGAGUCGCGUUGUUUGAACUUACAGCGCUAAGCAGGAGGUAAACUCCUCCUAAGGCUAAAUAUGUCCACAGAACCGAUAGCUAACAAGUACCGCGAGGGAAAGUUGAAAAGCACUCUGGAAAGAGGGUGACAAGACCGUGAAACCGCUCAGA